rnacentral:rRNA from 1 species
GACGAACGCUGGCGGCGUGCUUAACACAUGCAAGUCGAACGGAAAGGCCCUGCUUUUGUGGGGUGCUCGAGUGGCGAACGGGGGAGUAACACGUGAGUAACCUGCCCUUGACUUUGGGAUAACUUCAGGAAACUGGGGCUAAUACCGGAUAGGAGCUCCUGCUGCAUGGUGGGGGUUGGAAAGUUUCGGCGGUUGGGGGUGGACUCGCGGCUUAUCAGCUUGUUGGUGGGGUAGUGGCUUACCAAGGCUUUGACGGGUAGCCGGCCUGAGAGGGUGACCGGCCACAUUGGGACUGAGAUACGGCCCAGACUCCUACGGGAGGCAGCAGUGGGGAAUAUUGCACAAUGGGCGGAAGCCUGAUGCAGCAACGCCGCGUGCGGGAUGACGGCCUUCGGGUUGUAAACCGCUUUCGCCUGUGACGAAGCGUGAGUGACGGUAAUGGGUAAAGAAGCACCGGCUAACUACGUG